rnacentral:rRNA from 1 species
UGGGGAAUAUUGGGCAAUGGGCGCAAGCCUGACCCAGCAACGCCGCGUGAAGGAAGAAGGCUUUCGGGUUGUAAACUUCUUUUGUCAGGGACGAGCAGAAGACGGUACCUGACGAAUAAGCCACGGCUAACUACGUGCCAGCAGCCGCGGUAAUACGUAGGUGGCAAGCGUUGUCCGGAUUUACUGGGUGUAAAGGGCGUGUAGCCGGGAGGGCAAGUCAGAUGUGAAAUCCACGGGCUUAACUCGUGAACUGCAUUUGAAACUGUUCUUCUUGAGUAUCGGAGAGGCAAUCGGAAUUCCUAGUGUAGCGGUGAAAUGCGUAGAUAUUAGGAGGAACACCAGUGGCGAAGGCGGAUUGCUGGACGACAACUGACGGUGAGGCGCGAAAGCGUGGGGAGCAAACAGGAUUAGAUACCC